rnacentral:rRNA from 1 species
UACGGGGGGGGCAAGCGUUGUUCGGAAUUACUGGGCGUAAAGCGUGCGCAGGCGGUGAUGUAAGACAGUUGUGAAAUCCCCGGGCUCAACCUGGGAACUGCAUCUGUGACUGCAUCGCUGGAGUGCGGCAGAGGGGGAUGGAAUUCCGCGUGUAGCAGUGAAAUGCGUAGAUAUGCGGAGGAACACCGAUGGCGAAGGCAAUCCCCUGGGCCUGCACUGACGCUCAUGCACGAAAGCGUGGGGAGCAAACAGG